rnacentral:rRNA from 1 species
AAGACAGCUGGAUGAUAGCCGGGCUGAAGACUCUGCUUGACUAGCUGAGAGGAGGUGCAUGGCCGUCGUCAGUUCGUACUGUGAAGCAUCCUGUUAAGUCAGGCAACGAGCGAGACCCACGCCAACAGUUGCCAGCAUGUCCUCCGGGAUGAUGGGGACACUGUUGGGACCGCCUCUGCUAAAGAGGAGGAAGGGAAUGGGCAACGGUAGGUCAGCAUGCCCCGAAUUAUCCGGGCUACACGCGGGCUACAAUGGUCAGGACAAUGGGUAUCGACACCGAGAGGUGGAGGCAAUCUCCUAAACCUGUCCUUAGUUCGGAUUGUGGGCUGCAACUCGCCCACAUGAAGCUGGAAUCCGUAGUAAUCGCGUUUCAAAUAGCGCGGUGAAUAUGUCCCUGCUCCUU